CCACCCCUAUCCUCACUCAGAAAGCCCGAUUGUCCCCUCUUCCCUCCGCCCCCCUCCCGUUAGGCUCCUGGGAUCUGGACAAGAAAGGAGCUUGUCUUUCCUGGCUCUGCUGGAGUCCUGCCGCUGAGGUUUGGUUACCAUGGUGACGGGCUCCAUGGAAACGCGCAGCUGGCCUUUUCCAGGAUGGGCCUGGACCCCAGACCACCUGCUGCUUCGUUGCUUCCCCUGGUCUCAGCACCCCGAGAAGAUGCCUGGGUGGUCACUCUGCCACCUGGUCCUCACCCCUCCACCUUGGCAGGGACAGGAGAGUCCCCAAGCUGAAGACACUGAGGCCAGGAAGGUGCAGGACCCUGUCCACAGUUGUGCAGCAAGCAGGUGGCAGAGCAGGAAGAACGCAGAUUCACCUGACGCUGAACGACGUAACCACUUUAUGAUUUGCCCCAGGGCCUGGUUGUCCAUCCUAGUCGUCGGUCGUUCCAGUUCUUCUACGUGAGGUGCUGGCACAGCAUGGCUACUGACAGACGGGCAGUGUGGUUCCGCGACUGGGAAGUGAACCUGGGCCGCCAUGGUGGAGUGUGCAGAACUUUAACUGCUGGGCCAUCAGGGCUGGCUCCGUUGCUUAAUUUUUAUUGAGCAUCUGCCAUGUGAUUUUUCUGCCCUAUGGAGCAUCUACUGGGGGAGAUGGAAAAAAUGGGGAAAUCAUAGCAUACAAACUGUUCUAAGUAGUACGUUGAGAUAGAGGAUAACAAGGGGAUGCUCUUUAGAGGGGGUGAAUGGGCAGGCAAGAUUUCUCGGAGUAAGUGAUACACAAGGAUGAGAGAUCUGAAUGGUGAGAAGAGUCAGCUGUGAGAGGGAAGAGAGACCCAGGCAGGGGGAAUAGCAGGGACGAAGGCCUGGAGGUGGGAAUGGGUUUGGUGUGUCCUUGGGGCUGGAAAGGGUCAGAGGAGCUUGGAGGUGGUGAGCGAGGAGGAGGAAGGCGCAGGAUGAACUGGAGAAGCAGGCGGGGGCUGGAUCACGCAGAGCCUCAUGGGCUGGGAUGCACAGAGUGGUUUAUUCUAAGAACAGUGGAAACCACCAGAAGGUUCCAAGCAGGAGAGUGAGUUGACCUGAUUUAUGUAAGGAGCAGCUCCCCCUGGCUGCUGUGUGGGGGUGGGUAGGAGAGGGGCAAGCAAGGAGGCCAGGAGGAUGUUGUAGUCAUCCAGGUGCGAGAUGGUGGUACCUGGGCUGCACGAUGGAGAGGGAGGGGGCUCCUGGGUCUGACAUAGUCUGGAUGUGGACCAGACAGAACUUGCUGAUGGACUGUAAGCAGGGGAUGAGGAAGAGGAAAGAAUAAAGGAUAGCUCCCUAAUGUCUGCCUCGAGUGUCAGUGGAUGACGAUGUUGCUUACUGAGAUGAUGAAGACCCAGAGUGGUGCUGGGGGGCAAUGCUGGACAACCGGCUUUUGCGGGGAGAAAACCCAGAGCUUAUUCUGGAAUGUGCUCCGUUAGAGACACCUGGGAGCCACGCGAGUGGAGAUCCUCAGAUCUGGAGUUCAGGGGAGAAGUCUGGGUUGCAGAUAUAAAUUUGGGAGUUGAUAGUGUAGACAUGGUAUUUAAAGCCAUGGGGCUUGAUGAGAUCAAGGAAGGAGAAAGUGUAGACAGAGAUGGGAGGGCAAGACAAGAGGGGAGAAGAGAAAGAGGAGUAGAGAAGAG
rnacentral:lncRNA from 1 species